rnacentral:rRNA from 1 species
AGCCUGAUCCAGCCAUGCCGCGUGUGUGAAGAAGGCCUUCGGGUUGUAAAGCACUUUUGUUCGGGAAGAAAAGCUACCGGUUAAUACCCGGGAGUCAUGACGGUACCGAAAGAAUAAGCACCGGCUAACUUCGUGCCAGCGGCCGCGGUAAUACGAAGGGUGCAAGCGUUACUCGGAAUUACUGGGCGUAAAGCGUGCGUAGGUGGUGCGUUAAGUCUGUCGUGAAAGCCCCGGGCUCAACCUGGGAAUGGCGAUGGAUACUGGCGCGCUAGAGUGCGGUAGAGGAGAGUGGAAUUCCCGGUGUAGCAGUGAAAUGCGUAGAGAUCGGGAGGAACAUCAGUUGCGAAGGCGGCUCUCUGGACCAACACUGACACUGAGGCACGAAAGCGUGGGGAGCAAACAGGAUUAGAUACCCUGGUAGUCCACGCCCUAAACGAUGCGAACUGGACGUUGGGAGCAACUAGGCUCUCAGUGUCGA